rnacentral:lncRNA from 1 species
UAGAUAUUGGUGACCCUUAAAGUCUUAUUUUUUUCUUUUAUAUGGUAUUUAAGGCAUAUAUUGUAUGAAUCUUAUAAAAAAAAGAAAUAGAGAGGAGUUUUAGUAGCAAAAAAGGUAGUUAGGGCACCCAUAUGAAUGAAUGGAGAUGGAUGAUAUAAAUAUCCAUUCCUAUUGGUCAGAAAUCAUGACCAAUGGGAUUCAAGGAGGCUGCCUGAGGCCAUAUUAGGGAUUAGGAUUAUACUUUUGGGCCAUUCAAGUUUUUGGAGGCUAAGAUCAGCAGGUUCAGGUUUUUGGCUAUGGUUUUGGUACAAAUUUUGAGUCAAUUGGAGUUUUUAUGAAGGAGAUAUAGGUGCUCAAA